UUUAUUAUGGUUAUAAAUACUAUAGUUAUACAGGCAUAAGAACUUCUUGUGUGAUUUUUUAAAUCACUCUCUCUAUCUCUCUCACCUGCAGUAUUCAAUGAACUAUAUCAUGAAUAUGAGAAACUAAGAAUUUGGUGAUAUCAAUGAAUUAUAUUAUUAGAAUAUACAGAACUAAACUGUUUCCUUGUUUCUUUUUAUGUUAAGCUUGAGGAGAAAUAAGGAAACCAGGUUGUAAUUAAUGCAACUAGAUCUUGUCACAUGCAUAGCAUGUGGAGGUAAGUUUUCCCCUUGAAUAUUGAUGGGAGGUUGGUGCACUGCCAAGGCCUUUUCUUUUUUUUAUUGAGGGGGGUGAGGUGGUAUUCAUGGGGAUGAAUAAAGACUGAUGGGAGUGGCACCUAAUUAUCUUCCCCUUUUGUUUAUAAUUCUCUUAUUGAUCAUAUCGUGGCUUUUGUUUUCAUAAUACUAAUCCUCCGCUUUUUUUUGUGGGAUUCUCAACCAAAGCACUAGGCCCAAAAUAUAGAGUGAUUCCCGUUCUCCCCUAACAUUUGUUCAUGAGACACUUGAGAUGGUUGAACGUCCAAUGGAUGGAUGUUUGAGUUUUAAUUAUAUAUAGUCUUAGGUGGUAUAAGGAAUAACCUUACAAAUCAUGAUGACUAAAAGUUCAAACUCAUGAAUAAUAUUUCUGUCUUCUGCAGUAAUUGGAUUAAUAGGGUAUUUAUUGAAAGCGAAUCAAUAAUAGAAGAGAAUAAAGAAAAAGGAAAAUAAUUCAUGAAUGAACGUGUGCCGCGUGCAUGUGCGUUCACAUUGGUGUAUAUGGUUGUCUAUGUGUUUGUUUGUUUGUGUGAGAAAAAGAGAGAGGAGAGAGAGAGGGGGUGAUAGAGAGAGUGCUGUAAAUGUCUAUGUGGUCUCUGCAUGCACUUUGUUUCAUUUUCUUUCAAUAACUUUGGAUGGCUAGUUGUGGUAGCUGGAUGGCCAUUUUUUCCAUUUGAUCAUGGCCAUGCACUAUUAGUUUGUUAGAGGAAAUUAUGGUUCUAAAACUAAGAAGGCAGAGGCCGCUAACAACUGCGUUAAAAUAAUAAGUUUGUUAACUUGGAGUACUAAAUAAACUUAUUGUCAUGGUCAAAUUGCAUUCAGCUCAGUUUUUCACUUCCCUUCAAGCUAGUUUAUAGAUACCAAAGUAUCAAGUUUUUAAAGUCAACUUUAACAAUUGCCUUCAACAACAUUAUCAAAAAGUCAGUUCAAGCAUGUAAGCAGCCACAUAAAUGACUAUGCGCUGCCUCACCAUAUAAGCAGUCUCACUUAAAUGUUUAGCAGCUUUUAAUUUGCUUAGACUUUUGAACAUCCCUGUGAAGAUGUAAACAAUUGUUUAAUCUCCUUGACCAAUUGAAUGGUUAUUUGGCAUUUGGUUUGAAAAGUUUGCAUCUGAAAUGUUUGUCAUACAUGUUUAUUGAUGUAAUGAUUGUUCUAACUGAUGUUCACAAAAAUUAUAACAUGUUCUUUUCUAUCCAGUGUUGAACUGUUUGAGGUAUUCCACAUCCUAGAACUACUUUCAUCUAAGCAUACAUUACAGUAGUACGCUAAGAUGAUAAACAUGAUCCUUUGCUAUAGCUGCACCCGACCUUUACAUUUAUUCUGACAAUAUGCAAGAUGUUCUGGCACGCCUAUUAACCAGGGUUCUUUUCCUUCCCUCACACUCUUAACACUCCAUUAGUUUCUUUCCUUAUGAUCCUUGUCUCUUUUCUUUGGGUUCUUUUUCCCCUUUUCCACCAUCAUAAUAUAAACUACCUUCUUCAUACUACUACUAUUACCAUCACCACCAAGACUCUUUUAGUAUGUUUUACCUGCCAAUAUAUUAUAUCCCUGGUUCUUUUCAUGGAAUUGAUAAUAACUUUAGGCUUAAAUUGAAUGACAAAUAAAUUUGACUGAGUAAGUGAACUUAAUAGCUAUUGAUUUUAACUAUUGCUUUUAUCUAAAUGGUUUUAUCUCAAGAUUUUGAUGUUAUUUUUUAACCACUUAGGCAUUAAAUAAUCCAUUCAAACACAAAACUGUUUAAAAGUUUUAGGGGUUGGAGAGUGUUUAACCAUUUUGAUAAUUUGUUCUUCAAGAUU
rnacentral:lncRNA from 1 species